CAGUAUCGUAAGGGCAAUUUGGCAACAAUGGAAGGAAACAAAAAAAUUGCCGUAAAGAGACUGAUACCGAAAGUUGGUCGCAGUUUUCAAGAUGGCGUCUGUAAAUUUAUACGCGAGAAAUCGCAACGAAGACAAAAUAAUGUUAUUUUUUAAUUGUUUUCACGAUGCAAAAGCUUACAUAAAAAGAAAUGAAAUUGAUACGAAUAACCGUUACAUGAUGGGUUACAGCACAAAAAACUUUGGUAAUUCAGUUGUUACUUUAUCCUCCCAUAAGGUUUGUUGGGUCCAUGGGGUGAACCCUUACAUGUAUGUGAGCCUAGGACAUCAGGUUCUGAAAUGCCAACAUGGUACAGACAAGAACAAGAAGAAAAAACUGGAAAAGGAGAAGACAAUGACAGUUAGCAGUGAGCAACACUCAUAUGCUAAAAAGAAAACAAGGCAUGCAGUGCAGCCCUCACAAAAAAUGGACUGUCCUGCUUCUAAUACUGAACAUUUACCAAGCUCUACAAUAUUACAGUAUUUGCAUAUUUUGACGAUUUAAAACAUUUAAAAUUUUAAGCAUUACGAAGGAAUCAUUUCGCGAUUCUGUUGUUAUCAUUAUAUUUUGUGACAGUACGAUGAUUGCUGAAUCAUAUAAAGUAAAACAUACACAUAUUACUUACUAUACGAGCACGGAUGGGCGAGUUGUUUACGUUUUAAGAUUUUUUCUCAAAUGGUCAUUUGUUUGAGACUAGUUAAGGAUAACUUUUUUAUCUUUAAUUUUAUUCUUGUUUAAUUAUUGAGCUAUUUAAUUCUGAUGUUAACAUUUAUCUUUUUACAUUAUUUUAUUUAUCUCAUCAUUUUUAUUUUUAAAACUUCAACACAUGCCAAAAUCCUUGAAAAUAUCCAUAUACAGGUAUGCCUCUAUAAUUGUUGGAAUCAUUUCCGUCAAUUUCUUUAAACUAUGACUUUUUCCCUUCGCACCAAGACAAGAAUAUUAAUUGAUUAAACCAAUGGUUAUUGUUUGCUGUUGAAUGUCUUACUAUUGAACAUUUGAUAAUCUCAUCCGGAGGUUGUUGCUUUCCCAGGAUUUUAUUAUUGUUUUGUUUAUUGAAUAAUUUUCCAACAUUUAGAAAUGUAAUGUUUUGCUAACAUUUAUAAAUGUAUUUCU